AUGUUAGCGGCGGACGGGUGAGUAACACGUGGAUAACCUACCUAUAAGACUGGGAUAACUUCGGGAAACCGGAGCUAAUACCGGAUAAUAUUUUGAACCGCAUGGUUCAAAAGUGAAAGACGGUCUUGCUGUCACUUAUAGAUGGAUCCGCGCUGCAUUAGCUAGUUGGUAAGGUAACGGCUUACCAAGGCAACGAUGCAUAGCCGACCUGAGAGGGUGAUCGGCCACACUGGAACUGAGACACGGUCCAGACUCCUACGGGAGGCAGCAGUAGGGAAUCUUCCGCAAUGGGCGAAAGCCUGACGGAGCAACGCCGCGUGAGUGA
rnacentral:rRNA from 1 species